CAUUUCUAACGAAAUAUACUUUCAGCUGGGUGUGUUGGCCCUCGGGAGGCUGAGGCAGAAGGAUCGCUGGGAGUUCCAGACCAGCCUGGGCUACACAGCGAGUUCCAGUUGCUCUCCGCCUGGGGUGGCCUCCCGGUCCGACCCUCAUUCCCAACCACAGCUCCCACGCCAACGCAAGCCGUCAUCAUGAGCCUGAACUUCCGAAUGAACGCUUGUGUCGGAAACCACAGAAGGCACCCACGGUGCACUCCGCCUGAGAAGACAUGUUCAAAUAUUUGUCUCUCUGCCUGGACGCUCUCCAGGCUACAGGUGGUUCCAAUUUUCAACUCGUGGAAGAAACCAUACGCUAAGGAAGCAAUGGCAUCCUGUUGUGUAUCUCUCUGCAUCUGCCCUCGCCUGUACCAGUUAUUCUCCAUAAGAAGUCGGAGUGACCUUUGGCUCAAAAUUCUCCAGUGGUUUCAUUUUCACUUUCUCCCAGUUUUUAUCCAACUUCCCCAAAUAAAAUAGCAACUUCCCUGUUCCUUGCCUGUAUCAGACUCCCAAUUCCUCUAUUCCCUCCCUCUCCAUAGCACCUAUCGCCACGUGACAUACUUAUCUACAUAACAAGAGGCAGAAUGCCUUUUCCAGGUUGUAGAUGGAGUCCCCUCCACGUGCCCUUCUUACAGUGCGGCGUGUCCACGACUGCC